GGUUAAUCCGCCCUGGGUUAGUCGGGACCUAAGGCGAGGCCGACAGGCGUAGUCGAUGGACAUCGGGUUGAUAUUCCCGAACCGAUCGUAGGAGGACCCAUACCGAGGCAUCUGAUGCUAACCACCCGAGCUUGCCUCGUGCCCUUCGGGGUGCGUGCGUGAGCGAGGCUGGGAACCAAGGGUGUAGUAGGUCAGCGCGAGGGAUGACGCAGAGAGGUAGCUUCCGCGGACUUAAUGGAAUAGUCCGUCUAAGCGUGCAGCCCGGUCACGGUAAUGCGUGGCCAUGAGGGUGAGACGUGAUGGGGAUCCCGUAUGGGCGUAGGUGAGUGAUCCUGUACUGCCGAGAAAAGUUCCAGCGUGACGAAUACGGUCGCCCGUACCCUAAACCGACUCAGGUGAUCAGGUAGAGAAUACCAAGGCGUUCGAGAGAA
rnacentral:rRNA from 1 species